rnacentral:rRNA from 1 species
AUUGAACGCUGGCGGCAGGCCUAACACAUGCAAGUCGAACGAGUGGCGGACGGGUGAGUAAUGUCUGGGAAACUGCCUGAUGGAGGGGGAUAACUACUGGAAACGGUAGCUAAUACCGCAUACCAUCAGAUGUGCCCAGAUGGGAUUAGCUAGUGGGGGGGGAAACGGCUCACCAAGGCAACGAUCCCUAGCUGGUCUGAGAGGAGGACCAGCCACACUGGAACUGGGACACGGUCCAACCUCCUACGGAAGGCAGCAGUGGGGAAUAUUGCACAAUGGGCGCAAGCCUGAUGCAGCCAUGCCGCGGGUAUGAGGAAGGCCUUCGGGUUGUAAAGUACUUUCAGCGGGGAGGCGUUACCCGCAGAAGAAGCACCGGCUAACUCCGUGCCAGCAGCCGCGGUAAUAC